CCUAAAUUCAUCUUGUCUAUGGCACAGAACAUGAAUAGCACAUGAGGAAGAACACAGCGGUGAUUUUAACAUUUAUUGGUGGCAGGGGGCGAAUAUAGUUUUUCAGACAACAACAACAUUUUGUCCUGUAGGCAGUGGUUGUGACAACUGUCUCUAAGUAAACGUCUAAGUACUGUCAGAAGUAUGCAAGGAACGUCUUGACAGGACAUUUUAGUUUCACUUUUUUAGCAUGAGAUAUGCUGCUGCUCGGUUCAGGUGUGAAACCAACCUCAGAUGAAGACAGAUUAAUUUAUGAACUCUAUAUGGACUCGUGCAGGGAGCAAUGUAGUUUGAUGGCCGAGGGAAAGUUAUGGAGGACCCGUGGAGUUGGAGGAUGCACAGACAGUGUCAGCUUCACUAUGGAGCCAAAGGAUGGCAUCUGAAAUGGCAUGCCAUAAAAAGUGCCUCGGGCCCUUUUGGCGUCGAAGGCUGUCAUAAAUGAAGUCGGCGCUCUCUGAGGAAGAGUCAGGAAUGAUGCUUAAGAAACACGUUUGUAUUGAGUUUCCACUGUAUUUUCAUUAAUGCUAAAGACUUGUUAAAUUUACAACUUUUAAAAAACAAUUAUCAUUAUGAAGUAUAUGUAUUAAACAUGUAAUUUAAACAUAUUAAUUCAUACAAACAUAUAGAAGUUUGAUAUUUUACCCGGAAAUGUGUUCUUAAGGAACACUAAUCCUUAUAAACAUUCUAAUGAUAUUUUAACAUUUAAAAAAACACAUGAUCAUUUCCAAAUUGCAUCUGUUCACGGAAUCAGAAAAGAACAUACAUUGACCCUUUAACCGGCUACAGUGUGUUCACUGAGUUUGCACAUAGAAAAAGAGGAAGAUGCUGCGGGAGUGCCUGUAGACAUUGUCCGUACGGGCAAAUUAAUGUGGAGGAUCCUACUAAGAAGAAACUUCAACUCUUUGUUUUAUGUAUAGUAGUAAAUGUUAAGAUCGGCUGAACAACUCAUUUUGUGUGUUCCCAUAUUGAAUUUGGACUUCUUUUAAUGCACAUUCGUCUUACACUCUGUUUAAAAUGAUGAAAUACGCUACACCAGAUGUGCAACCCACACUCCAGGAAAUGGUUUGAAUCACAUCUAUCCACUGUGAUUUGACUUACAGGAGUUGGUGUGCUCCUCUGUCAGAUGAAUUCCACAAGCGGGAAUUUUCGCAGUGAUGAAUAUUCAUACGGUUACAGGCGAUCUUAAUUUUGACAGCUGUCAAUUCAGACUACGUGCUUCCUCCCUGGUAAAUGUACGACCAAGAAAACACCAUGGAAAAUGAAGUCUUCUCAUAAAAUGUGUGUUGACGUUAAAUACAUAGGCUUAGAAGGCUUCGUUUCAUGUUUAAAAAACCUGUAAAAACACAAAUUAUAUUUAAAGAGUUAACAGAAGUAUUUAUUAUUAUUUUAUGUAACUUAAACUAAUUAAAAUUACCUUUCUAGAAGUUCUCAAAUGUAUUUUGGCUUUGCUUCAACAGGUCUUGUACAAUUUACAUAUGCUAUAUACAGGGUUGUUGUCAAGGCCCUGUGUAAAAAUGUCCUUAACGGCAUACACUUUGAGCUACUUUGAGGGUGCAGGAGAUUAACAAUAAAAAAUGGUCCUUGGCCCUUUCAGCAACGACUGUAUGUGUUUGAGAUUCCGUGUGCAUGUUUAUGUAUUUACGCAUAAAGAAUUGUUUAAUUGCAUAUAAAGUUUAUUCAUUCAAAGUACAUCAUAUUCAAAGUACAUCACAUUCAGUUGUUAGUGUCUGCUACCUCCUGGCCAUUAUAUGCAUCUUCAUAUUUGCCUGUCUGAUUUAUAUCUCCCUGUGGCUAACUGAGAUUGAUACUCAGGUUUUCCAUCCACUGAAACUGAUUUCAG
ensembl:lncRNA